GGAGAAGACUGACAACAUAUGCUCUCCCCAGAACACAGUGGGCAGGUGCAUUUAAAGUUCAGCCUCUUCCUAGCUGGAAGUAAAAUGGAUCUGAUCAAGGAGGUAUUCCUUCUGAACACUGAGCUCCUUCUUUAGCCAAGGAGCAAGGAAUGUGUGGAAGCAGGAACAGACCACAGGGAAAGGUUUUUGCUAUGAUAUUAUUCGUCACAGCACUUUAUCUUUUCAUGACCUUUGUGUCGCAUUUCCAUACUUGACUAAACUUCCUUGACACAUCCUGCCCCCUAGCCCCACUGAGGUGGUGUUUCUCAGAUCCUAAGAUACUGCUCCAUCUUUCCCACCACUGUAACAACUGCCACACAGGAUCAACUGCUUAGUUAACACAUCUCUUGACAAUCUGAGCUCCCCGAAGGCACACCAGGCCUUAUGCAUGCAUUUCCAGGCCCUACAUGGUUUUGACUUCACAAAACCUGACCUUCGAAUCUC
rnacentral:lncRNA from 1 species